rnacentral:rRNA from 1 species
UACGUAGGGUGCGAGCGUUAUCCGGAAUGAUUGGGCGUAAAGCGUCCGCAGGUGGCUGUGUAAGUCUGCUGUCAAAGAGCGAAGCUCAACUUCGUAAAGGCAGUGGAAACUACACGGCUAGAGUGCGUUCGGGGCAGAGGGAAUUCCUGGUGUAGCGGUGAAAUGCGUAGAGAUCAGGAAGAACACCGGUGGCGAAGGCGCUCUGCUAGGCCGCAACUGACACUGAGGGACGAAAGCUAGGGGAGCGAAUGGG